UUUACAAAUACCUGCUAUGUAUAAAAAAUGCACUGCAAUAAUAUACAACCUAUUCAUGUCUUGAGAGAAAUAUGCUUUUUUUUUUUAAUCUGCUUUAAAUCUUUGGCCACCUAGUCAAUUCCAGUUUCAAAUAUCUUUUACCUUAAAUUUCACUCUUCAGAUUAACUAGCUUUCCACCCACGCUUUAAUACUUUUUCCUAAUCUUUUUUGUUGCAUUGCCAAACCCUGAAACCUGCCUCAGAGAUCACCAGAAAAAACAAAUAAACAAAUAUAAAGCGAUUACUUCAGAAUAGAACAUGGGGGAUAAGAAUCAAGAUUCCCUUAUGGAAUCAUACUUUAUUGUGCUGUAAUGAAUAACUUACC
rnacentral:lncRNA from 1 species